GGGUUGUGAGGUUAAGCGACUAAGCGUACACGGUGGAUGCCCUGGCAGUCAGAGGCGAUGAAGGGCGUGCUAAUCUGCGAUAAGCGCCGGUAAGGUGAUAUGAACCGUUAUAACCGGCGAUACCCGAAUGGGGAAACCCAGUGUGAUUCGUCACACUAUCAUUAACUGAAUCCAUAGGUUAAUGAGGCGAACCGGGGGAACUGAAACAUCUAAGUACCCCGAGGAAAAGAAAUCAACCGAGAUUCCCCCAGUAGCGGCGAGCGAACGGGGAGGAGCCCAGAGCCUGAAUCAGCAUGUGUGUUAGUGGAAGCGUCUGGAAAGGCGCGCGAUACAGGGUGACAGCCCCGUACACAAAAGCGCAUGUGCUGUGAGCUCGAUGAGUAGGGCGGGACACGUGGUAUCCUGUCUGAAUAUGGGGGGACCAUCCUCCAAGGCUAAAUACUCCUGACUGACCGAUAGUGAACCAGUACCGUGAGGGAAAGGCGAAAAGAACCCCGGCGAGGGGAGUGAAAAAGAACCUGAAACCGUGUACGUACAAGCAGUGGGAGCNNNNNNNNNGGGCGUUAAGUUGCAGGGUAUAGACCCGAAACCCGGUGAUCUAGCCAUGGGCAGGUUGAAGGUUGGGUAACACUAACUGGAGGACCGAACCGACUAAUGUUGAAAAAUUAGCGGAUGACCUGUGGCUGGGGGUGAAAGGCCAAUCAAACCGGGAGAUAGCUGGUUCUCCCCGAAAGCUAUUUAGGUAGCGCCUCGUGAAUUCAUCUCCGGGGGUAGAGCACUGUUUCGGCUAGGGGGCCAUCCCGGCUUACCAACCCGAUGCAAACUGCGAAUACCGGAGAAUGUUAUCACGGGAGACACACGGCGGGUGCUAACGUCCGUCGUGAAGAGGGAAACAACCCAGACCGCCAGCUAAGGUCCCAAAGUCAUGGUUAAGUGGGAAACGAUGUGGGAAGGCCCAGACAGCCAGGAUGUUGGCUUAGAAGCAGCCAUCAUUUAAAGAAAGCGUAAUAGCUCACUGGUCGAGUCGGCCUGCGCGGAAGAUGUAACGGGGCUAAACCAUGCACCGAAGCUGCGGCAGCGACACUGUGUGUUGUUGGGUAGGGGAGCGUUCUGUAAGCCUGCGAAGGUGGCCUGUGAGGGUUGCUGGAGGUAUCAGAAGUGCGAAUGCUGACAUAAGUAACGAUAAAGCGGGUGAAAAGCCCGCUCGCCGGAAGACCAAGGGUUCCUGUCCAACGUUAAUCGGGGCAGGGUGAGUCGACCCCUAAGGCGAGGCCGAAAGGCGUAGUCGAUGGGAAACGGGUUAAUAUUCCCGUACUUGGUGUUACUGCGAAGGGGGGACGGAGAAGGCUAUGUUGGCCGGGCGACGGUUGUCCCGGUUUAAGCGUGUAGGUGUGUGUUCCAGGUAAAUCCGGUUCACUUUAACACUGAGGCGUGACGACGAGGCACUACGGUGCUGAAGCAACAAAUGCCCUGCUUCCAGGAAAAGCCUCUAAGCAUCAGGUAACAUCAAAUCGUACCCCAAACCGACACAGGUGGUCAGGUAGAGAAUACCAAGGCGCUUGAGAGAACUCGGGUGAAGGAACUAGGCAAAAUGGUGCCGUAACUUCGGGAGAAGGCACGCUGACACGUAGGUGAAGUGAUUUACUCAUGGAGCUGAAGUCAGUCGAAGAUACCAGCUGGCUGCAACUGUUUAUUAAAAACACAGCACUGUGCAAACACGAAAGUGGACGUAUACGGUGUGACGCCUGCCCGGUGCCGGAAGGUUAAUUGAUGGGGUCAGCGCAAGCGAAGCUCCUGAUCGAAGCCCCGGUAAACGGCGGCCGUAACUAUAACGGUCCUAAGGUAGCGAAAUUCCUUGUCGGGUAAGUUCCGACCUGCACGAAUGGCGUAAUGAUGGCCAGGCUGUCUCCACCCGAGACUCAGUGAAAUUGAACUCGCUGUGAAGAUGCAGUGUACCCGCGGCAAGACGGAAAGACCCCGUGAACCUUUACUAUAGCUUGACACUGAACAUUGAGCCUUGAUGUGUAGGAUAGGUGGGAGGCUUUGAAGUGUGGACGCCAGUCUGCAUGGAGCCGACCUUGAAAUACCACCCUUUAAUGUUUGAUGUUCUAACGUGGACCCGUUACCCGGGUUGCGGACAGUGUCUGGUGGGUAGUUUGACUGGGGCGGUCUCCUCCUAAAGAGUAACGGAGGAGCACGAAGGUUGGCUAAUCCUGGUCGGACAUCAGGAGGUUAGUGCAAUGGCAUAAGCCAGCUUGACUGCGAGCGUGACGGCGCGAGCAGGUGCGAAAGCAGGUCAUAGUGAUCCGGUGGUUCUGAAUGGAAGGGCCAUCGCUCAACGGAUAAAAGGUACUCCGGGGAUAACAGGCUGAUACCGCCCAAGAGUUCAUAUCGACGGCGGUGUUUGGCACCUCGAUGUCGGCUCAUCACAUCCUGGGGCUGAAGUAGGUCCCAAGGGUAUGGCUGUUCGCCAUUUAAAGUGGUACGCGAGCUGGGUUUAGAACGUCGUGAGACAGUUCGGUCCCUAUCUGCCGUGGGCGCUGGAGAACUGAGGGGGGCUGCUCCUAGUACGAGAGGACCGGAGUGGACGCAUCACUGGUGUUCGGGUUGUCAUGCCAAUGGCACUGCCCGGUAGCUAAAUGCGGAAGAGAUAAGUGCUGAAAGCAUCUAAGCACGAAACUUGCCCCGAGAUGAGUUCUCCCUGAGACUUAGAGUCUCCUGAAGGAACGUUGAAGACGACGACGUUGAUAGGCCGGGUGUGUAAGCGCAGCGAUGCGUUGAGCUAACCGGUACUAAUGAACCGUGAGGCUUAACCUUACAACGCCGAAG
rnacentral:rRNA from 1 species